rnacentral:rRNA from 1 species
GAUGAACGCUGGCGGCGUGCCUAAUACAUGCAAGUAGAACGCUGAAGGAAGGAGCUUGCUCUUUCCGGAUGAGUUGCGAACGGGUGAGUAACGCGUAGGUAACCUGCCUGGUAGCGGGGGAUAACUAUUGGAAACGAUAGCUAAUACCGCAUAACAGUAGAUGUUGCAUGAUAUCUACUUAAAAGGUGCAAUUGCACCACUACCAGAUGGACCUGCGUUGUAUUAGCUAGUUGGUGAGGUAACGGCUCACCAAGGCGACGAUACAUAGCCGACCUGAGAGGGUGAUCGGCCACACUGGGACUGAGACACGGCCCAGACUCCUACGGGAGGCAGCAGUAGGGAAUCUUCGGCAAUGGACGGAAGUCUGACCGAGCAACGCCGCGUGAGUGAAGAAGGUUUUCGGAUCGUAAAGCUCUGUUGUAAGAGAAGAACGAGUGUGAGAGUGGAAAGUUCACACUGUGACGGUAUCUUACCUGAAAGGGACGGCUAACUACGUG